UACGGAGGGGGCGAGCGUUAUCCGGAGUUACUGGGCGUAAAGGGCGUGUAGGUGGUUUCGUAAGUCUGGCGUGAAAUUUCUCGGCUUAACCGAGGCAGGUCGUCGGAUACUGCGGAACUUGAGGACGGUAGAGGCGUGUGGAAUUCCGGGUGUAGUGGUGAAAUGCGUAGAGAUCCGGAGGAACACCAGUGGCGAAGGCGACACGCUGGGCCGUACCUGACACUGAUGCGCGACAGCAUGGGGAGCAAACAGG
rnacentral:rRNA from 1 species